rnacentral:rRNA from 1 species
AUUUUCCGGUUGAUCCUGCCGGACCCCACUGCUAUCGGGAUAGGACUAAGACAUGCUAGUCGAGUGAUUCAGGCAAAACGAGUCACGGCACACAGCUCAGUAACACGUGGCUAAUCUGCCCUUAGGACGAGAACAACCCCGGGAAACUGGGGCUAAUUCUCGAUAGGCGAAGAACUCUGGAAUGAGUCUUUACCUAAAUAGUGCAACGUUAUCCUCGUUGCAUCGCCUAAGGAUGAGGCCGCGACCGAUCAGGUUGUUGGCGAGGUAAUGGCUCACCAAGCCUUUUACCGGUGCGGGCCGUGAGAGCGGGAGCCCGGAGAUGGGCACUGAGACAAGGGCCCAGGCCCUACGGGGCGCAGCAGUCGCGAAAACUUUGCAAUAAGCGAAAGCUUGACAGGGCUAUCCCGAGUGCCAUCCGCUGAGGAAGGCUUUUACCCAGUCUAGAACGCUGGGGGAAUAAGGAGAGGGCAAGUCUGGUGUCAGCCGCCGCGGUAAUACCAGCUCUCCGAGUGGUGUGGAUGUUUAUUGGGCCUAAAGCAUCCGUAGCUGGCUAGGUCAGUCCCUUGUUAAAUCCACCGAAUUAAUCGUUGGAUUGCGGGGGAUACUGCUUGGCUAGGGGACGAGAGAGGCAGACGGUAUUUUCGGGGUAGGGGUGAAAUCCUAUAAUCCCGGGAAGACCACCAGUGGCGAAGGCUGUCUGCUAGAACGCGCCCGACGGUGAGGGAUGAAAGCUGGGGGAGCGAACCGGAUUAGAUACCCGGGUAGUCCCAGCUGUAAACGAUGCAGACUAGGUGUUUGGACGGCCACGUGCCGUUCUAGUGCCGCAGGGAAGCUGUUAAGUCUGCCGCCUGGGGAGUACGAUCGCAAGAUUGAAACUUAAGGAAUUGGCGGGGGAGCACCACAAGGGUGAGCUUGCGUUUAAUUGGAGUCAACGCCGGAAU